rnacentral:rRNA from 1 species
UCCACCCUCUGCCUUCUUCGGAAGGCAUUGGGCUGGGAUUUGGGAGCUUGCGGGUCCCUGGCCGAUCCGCUCUCCUUGAAUACAUUAGCGAAGCCCUUUGCGGCCUUGGUGUGAUAGUCAUCUACGGCUCGGUUUAGCGAAUCAAUGGGAAUCG